CCCAUGCUUUUUUGCCCCGGCGUCUUAUGCAUUAUAAAACUGCAUUUGAAGCCAUAAUAUUAAUUUGUACUGUAACAAUUUAACACGUCGUUCUGCGUUUUCAUUAGUUGGUUAAGUUUAAGUCUCACAAAUCACAAAAGUAGAAUAAAGUGGCUUAGGUUUCCAUUGCUUUUUAAAUGUCUGCAAUGAUGUCUUGAAAUUGGGAAUCAUUCAUAUACUCGGGCGUCGCUUCUGGUCUGCAUCUAAAUAACCAAAUUUCGAUGUUCACUUAUUACAUGUACUCGUGCAAAGUAUAGAGCUUCCACCAAUUCUUACUCAGGCGUCACUUUUGUAUGACUAUACAUACAUACAUACAUACAUACAUAUAUGUGUUUAUGGAGCUGUGACAAAUGAGAUAUGCAAUCAAUGAAAAACUAGCAUUCGCAUAAUACGCCGUGAUUUUGAGAGGGUACAACAUUUCAUAUAUACAUACGAGUAUUUACCACACACUUGACUCAGCCUACUGGUGGAAUUCUCUACAAGUGACCAUUUGCCUUUCAAUUCCAACCCAAACAAGCGCUCGCAAGACAAAAGAAACUCGCCCAAUGGUAUUGUUGGCGUACAGCUGAGAACGAAAAUUCGCAAGACUUAUUUAUCAAGUAUUAAAAUAACCGAUAAGUGAAAAAUUACUUCCGAAACACUACGGUUAAAAACGCAUUCUAAUUGCAAAAAGUUCUCACUGAAAUUAAAGAAAGUCGAAAAGUCCUAGCAAUAUUUUUACAUACAUAUAUAAAUCUUAUUUUGCUACUAAGUUCACGUAUUAUACAUACUUACACCUUAGUCUUGCCAUAAAUUUCACAAAUUUUGCCUGUUAAAAAUGGAGUGGGGAGUUAAGGAAAAUCGCAUUGCCGUGAUUGCAUUACAUAAGUGUGGUAAAAGUGCGAGUGAGAUUCACGAAUUGCUGAAAAACCUUAAAAUUUCAAGAAUGUUUGUUUACCGUGCAAUCAAUCGUUUUUCCCAAACGUCUGAAGUGACGGACAGAAAAAGAAGUGGUCGUCCUCGCGUGGCUCGAACCAAUGAAGCCAUAACAGCAGUUCGAGAAAAAAUUCGCAAAAGUCCCCUUACAACGCACAAAAUCAUGUCCGAAGACUUGAAUAUAUCAGCCAGAACCUUGGCAAGACUAAUUAAAGAUGAUCUUCACAUGAAAAGUUCGAACCAAUUCCGCCUUAAAAAGCGUUCGAGAAAGAAUUUGCAGAAAUCCCCUUCUAAAGCAGAAAAUCAUGUCCAGAUGAAUGAAUAUAUUGACCCGAUACAUGUCCCGGGAAAUGAACAUAUCGACCCGAUCCAUGUCCAGGGAAAUGAACAUAUAGACCCGAUCCUUGUCGAGACUUCAGAUGAAAGCCUUCCGUCGCACAACUGGUCAGCGCCUGAUGGAAACUAGUCCAGAUCUAAUUGUAACAUAACUUAUGGCGGAACUUAGUAUAUGCACAUGAAAACAAACUGAACGAAUUAAAUCUAAGUCUGUCGCAGCAAAAGUGGUGUAACAUAGGUGGUAUAUGUAGAAUGGAAAAUUUUAAUUAUUUCGCUAUUGCUACUUACGGCUAUUUACAUAUGUAUAUACACAAAAUUCCAGCUUGCAGGAAUUAUAUGUUUUAUCAAUAUUGCUGCUGUUUGAUAUUUUCUCAUUAAAUGAAUGUAGUUUUAGAACAAUAGGAGUGUAUGGAACGUUUUUUUUUUUUUUUUUUUUUUUUUUUGAGAUACAUAUGUGGUUUUAUUAGUAUUGGUAUUUAAUUUAUGAAAAAAGUAUUGUAUAAAUUAUCAUUUAUAAGAUAAGAGGCGCAUUAGCCAUCUGCAAAUCAUCCUAACUUUAUUUUUAUAUAAAGGUUUACGUAAUUUAAGGGGGCAGAUACCUGUAAACGGCCGUAUUUUCCCUGAUUUUCAUUAAAACUAUUUAAAAUGAAGUCAAUAUAUUUUUUUUCAAAAUAGGUAUACAGUUUAUUUAUAUUGUACAUUAAAAUAAUAUAAUUUUUUUUUAUUUCAAUCAUUUAAAACGGCGGAUGUACACUCAAUUCUUCCAGGAAGGUCGCAGCGGGGCUUCUUAAUUGGCGGGCAUCGUAGCAUCGGCGUCAGUGAACUGAAUACAAAGCACCAAAAAAAUUUUUCUAAUAAUGUCAUAAUUUCUAUAUGAAUUAAACAAAAAUGGAAAAAAAUUCGCGUAAUAAAAUGCUUCAAAAAACAAAAAAAUGAACUUUGGGGGCGAAUUUUCCCACUAUUUUUGUUUCGAAAAUAUGUAAAUUGAAUUAGAAAGUAAUAUCAUAGAAAAGAUAUGUGCAAAAUUUUAGGGAGAUCGGUCAAUAACUUUUCGAGUUAUCGUGUUAUCGCCAAUUCGAAAAAUAUAGUUUUGAGAAAAACGCGGCUAAAGUCGGCAACGUAACCAUACCUCUCCCAGCGCUCGAACGCAAAGAAUAGAGUCGUCACUGUUGACGAUCUAUAAUUUCAGAAAUACUUAAAUUUACGUAAAAAUAGUUUGACAUAUUCUUAAAGGAUUAUAUUAACAUUUUAUGAAAAAAAAGAAAUUUUACAGGUAUCUGUCCCCUUAAUUACAAUAUAUAAACGCAUAAGGCAAUGCAGCACUAGUAACGGACUGGCAUGUCGCACAGUGGACUGGCUAGUCGUCCGAUUCCAAAAUUUUGUUCGUUAAUUUCGUUACGAUAUUACUGACUAUUGAUUUAGUGCUAAUAUAAACAAUAUAUUAAUAGAAUAACAAAUAAAACGAGCUAAAACUAAAAUACAACUUGACUAAUUAGCGAAUUAAAUGGUAGAGAAAAAAAUGGAUUUAUCAUAUAUUUCUCGCCGGAAUAAGAAACUUAUAAUACGUUCACAUAUAAGUAGAUGAUCUCCUUUUUCGCGCUUAACUCAAAAUCCGUAAUUAAAAAGC